GGGGGAAAUCAAUGGUGGUAUUACACAUUUAAACUUAUUUGAAAACUUUUUCAGGAGUGAAACACUUUUGCUUGAAAUCAGCAACUUGUAAUAUGAUGGGCGCAUGACAUUUUGUUGAAAGGCACCUUGUUGUAACACGAUGGACAUAUUGCACACUGAAACGAGCCGAGGAGUAAAUUCUUUGAUCAUCGAUGGCCAUAUAUAUCGGGAGGUUAGUAUCCUAGAACAUAUCAACAAAGCUUAUCCAUGUACCAUCAAGUCGUGUGAAUCCAGAAC
rnacentral:lncRNA from 1 species